rnacentral:lncRNA from 1 species
UAAAGAAUAUCUAAAAAAUUUGUUAAAUGUGCAUACUUUAAUUACAGAAUUCUUCUCUUGCUAUAAAAAACAGGGUGAAAUUGGACCACCAGGUCAACCAGGAGCAAAAGGGUCACCAGGAGAUACUGGUUUGAUGGGACCAGAAGGCUCACUUGGUCUACCUGGAGCUCCUGGGCCUAAGGGUGAUAAAGGCGAACCGGGAAUUCAGGGGAAACCAGGAUCGUCAGGAGCCAAGGUAAAUAUGAUUCUGGAAGUACUCUAGUUAAAGAAGGGAUUUAUGUACUAUUUUACAAGGCAGUUU